GACGAACGCUGGCGGCGUGCCUAACACAUGCAAGUCGAGCGAGUGAAUCUCCUUCGGGAGUGAAGCUGGCGGCGGACGGCUGAGUAACACGUAGGCAACCUGCGUCAUAGCGGGGGAUAGCCUUUCGUAAGGAAGAUUAAUACCGCAUAAGACUGUAUCAUCGCAUGAACUAGCCAUUAAAGAAGCAAUCCUAUAUGAGAUGGGCGCGCGUCGCAUUAGCUAGUUGGUGAGGUAACGGCUCACCAAGGCGACGAAGCGUAGCCGACCUGAGAGGGUGAUCGGAGACAUUGGGACUGAGAAACGGCCCAGACUCCUACGGGAGGCAGCAGUGGGGAAUAUUGCACAAUGGGGGAAACCAUGAUGCAGCAACGCCGCGUGAGUGAUGACGGCCUUCGGGUUGUAAAGCUCUGUCUUCAGGGACGAUAAUGACGGUACCUGAGGAGGAAGCCACGGCUAACUACGUGCCAGCAGCCGCCGUAA
rnacentral:rRNA from 1 species